rnacentral:lncRNA from 1 species
AAGAAGUUUCGAUCUCCCGAAGUUAGGACAUUAUUUUCGAACCCGAUCGAACUCAGCUCUUCAGGAAUUAUGGUCAUUUCCUCGAACCAAUUUUCCUUCCGUGUGUCCUAUCUAACUCUUCCUCAAACUCCAAAACCAGUUGUCCUACAUCAACCCUUCCCACCUGCGAAGAACUCAACCUCGAAUUAUAAUCUGGAUAAAGCGGAACAUCAAUCUUCGCAAAACUCAUAAAUAUAAGAUACAUUGAAAGUAUGAGAGAUGUUCAAUUCAAGUACGAGAGAUGUUCAAUUCGGUAGGCAAGUCGAUUACGUAGGUAUUAUCAUUGAUCUUCUUGAUCACCUUGUAUAUACGGACCAUACUUUCGUGGCUUCAACUUGUUAUAGGAGACGACUGGG